GUGGAGCAUGUGGUUUAAUUCGAAGCAACGCGAAGAACCUUACCAGGUCUUGACAUCCCCUGACAACCCAAGAGAUUGGGCGUUCCCCCUUCGGGGGGACAGGGUGACAGGUGGUGCAUGGUUGUCGUCAGCUCGUGUCGUGAGAUGUUGGGUUAAGUCCCGCAACGAGCGCAACCCUCGCCUCUAGUUGCCAGCAUUCGGUUGGGCACUCUAGAGGGACUGCCGGCGACAAGUCGGAGGAAGGUGGGGAUGACGUCAAAUCAUCAUGCCCCUUAUGACCUGGGCUACACACGUGCUACAAUGGGCGGUACAAAGGGCUGCGAACCCGCGAGGGGGAGCGAAUCCCAAAAAGCCGCUCUCAGUUCGGAUUGCAGGCUGCAACUCGCCUGCAUGAAGCCGGAAUCGCUAGUAAUCGCGGAUCAGCAUGCCGCGGUGAAUACGUUCCCGGGCCUUGUACACACCGCCCGUCACACCACGAGAGCUUGCAACACCCGAAGUCGGUGAGGUAACCCGCAAGGGAGCCAGCCGCCGAAGGUGGGG
rnacentral:rRNA from 1 species